UACGGAGGGUGCGAGCGUUGUCCGGAAUCACUGGGCGUAAAGGGCGCGUAGGCGGCCUGAUAAGUAGGGGGUGAAAUCCUGCGGCUUAACCGCAGGGCUGCCUUCUAAACUGUCAGGCUAGAGCACAGUAGAGGCAGGUGGAAUUCCCGGUGUAGCGGUGGAAUGCAUAGAGAUCGGGAAGAACAUCAGUGGCGAAGGCGGCCUGCUGGGCUGUUGCUGACGCUGAGGCGCGACAGCGUGGGGGAGCAAACAGG
rnacentral:rRNA from 1 species